rnacentral:sRNA from 1 species
UUUCCACUCUGUGGAAGGUUUGUUCUUUUGCUCUUUGCAAUAAAUCUUGCUGCUCACUGUUUGGGUCCACAUUGCUUUUAUGAGCUGUAACACUCGCCGUGAAGGUCUGCAGCUUCACUCCUGAAGCCAACAAGACCACCAACCCACCAGGAGGAACAAACAACUUCAGACGCGCUGCCUUAAGAGCUGUAACACUCACCGCGAAGGUAUGCAGCUUCACUCCUGAAGCCAGCGAGACCACGAACCCAUCAGGAGGAAGGAACAACUCCAGACGCGCCACCUUAAGAGCUGCAACACUCACCGCGAAGGUCUGCAGCUUCACUCCUGAGCCAGCGAGACCACGAACCCACCAAAAGGAAGAAACUCCGGACACAUCUUAACAUCAGAAGGAACAAACUCCGGACACGCCACCUUUAAGGCCACCUUUAAGAACUGUAACACUCACCGCGAAGGUCCACGGCUUCAUUCUUUAAGUCAGUGAGACCGAGAACCCACCAAUUCCGGACACACAGAUACAGCCAAGCCUCUUUGCUUCUCUGGGCCAGCCUCUCUGGAGCUGAAUCGUGGCUGGCUGGAUUUGAGGAGCCUGCAUGGGCGCACUCUCUCUCUCUGAAUCCCAGCUAGGGCUCUCCUGGCUGUAAUUACUAAGACUCAGCUGCUGGGAAUUUCCACGCCUCCUACCUCUCUACAGGGCAGUCCCUCCAUAUUAGGAAACCCACUGGCGCGCUCCGCCAUAAUCUUCGCAAGACUUCCGUUGUUGCGUCAAGUUGCAGAUUGCCUUUUAACAGAGAAAAAAGUGACAGGAAUGUGCUGGCACUGAUGACACAGUAAUGACCAAGGUCUUCAGUGUUUUGGCCAUCUCCCUACCUGAUCACCCUGAAGCAACACCCACAAGCGGACAAUCUCUGCCCAGCUACAUUGAGAUCCCAGAACCAGAGCCACUAGCAAUCUCACCCUAAGGGGAAGAGAAGGAGAGCCAGGCAUGGCUGUCUGCAGUGUGCCUCUCACGGAUACUUCUUUUACCUGGCGGACAGCCCAGCGCCUAAUUGUCUGACUCGUGAUCAAGAUGUCCUUCACACGGAAAACUUGUUUAUUCUGACAAAUGCCUUGGUGGUUGCUGUGUCCAGUGAAUGCCUGCCUGACCAUCGCUCGGAGCUGGGAGCUUGUGUUAUCCACUGCGUCCCGGGGAAAACCUGCUGGGGCAGCCCCUGGUUCUUCCUUUCUUCUCUGCAACUGGGGUUCUCUGUGUUCAGGGAUUACCCAAACCACGGCUUUCUUUGGAGACCAGUGAUGGCAAAGCGUUCUCUUCUGCUCCUGCCAAGUCGCCCUCACUCAGCUCAAGACCUCUGGCAUUCCUUGGAGACUUCUGCUCACUGCUGUUGGAGGAAGAUGCUGAUUCAGGCCAGAUUCCAUCUUGGGGUGCGUGCCCUUGGUCUUCCUCUGCCCCACACGCUCCUUCCACAGCUUUGUGCAUGGUUGCUCCUGCCUGUCAUUCAGGCUUUGGCUCAGACAGCACUUACUCAAGAGAACUUUUUUGAUAGACACAUAGCUUUUAAAUUUUUUUUAAAUUUUUUAAUUUUUUAAACGUAGUAUUUUGGAUUCAGGGGAUACAUGUGCAUGUUCGUCACAGGGUAUAUUGUGUGAUGCUGAGGUUUUGGCUUCUAUUGAUCCUGUCACCCAAAGAGUGAACAUAGUCCCCAGCAGGAAAUUUUUUAACCCUUGCCCCCAUCCCUCCCUCUCCCCUUUUGGAGUCUCCUGUAUCUGUUGUUCCCAUCUUUAUGUCAUGUGUACUCAAUGUAAAGCUCCCAAUUAUAAGUGAGAAUUUGUGGGA